GAUGAACGCUGGCGGCGUGCCUAAUACAUGCAAGUCGAGCGAACAGAUGAGGAGCUUGCUCCUCUGACGUUAGCGGCGGACGGGUGAGUAACACGUGGAUAACCUACCUAUAAGACUGGGAUAACUUCGGGAACCCGGAGCUAAUACCGGAUAAUAUAUUGAACCGCAUGGUUCAAUAGUGAAAGACGGUUUUGCUGUCACUUAUAGAUGGAUCCGCGCCGCAUUAGCUAGUUGGUAAGGUAACGGCUUACCAAGGCAACGAUGCGUAGCCGACCUGAGAGGGUGAUCGGCCACACUGGGACUGAGACACGGUCCAGACUCCUACGGGAGGCAGCAGUAGGGAAUCUUCCGCAAUGGGCGAAAGCCUGACGGAGCAACGCCGCGUGAGUGAUGAAGGUCUUCGGAUCGUAAAACUCUGUUAUUAGGGAAGAACAAAUGUGUAAGUAACUAUGCACGUCUUGACGGUACCUAAUCAGAAAGCCACGGCUAACUACGUG
rnacentral:rRNA from 1 species